rnacentral:rRNA from 1 species
GAGUUUGAUCCUGGCUCAGGAUGAACGCUGGCGGCGUGCCUAACACAUGCAAGUCGAACGAAGCAUGACCCAUGAGGCCUUCGGGCGGAAUGGGUCAUGACUUAGUGGCGGACGGGUGAGUAACGCGUGGGUAACCUGCCCUAUACUGGGGGAUAACAGCUAGAAAUGGCUGCUAAUACCGCAUGAGCGCACAGUCCCGCAUGGGACAGUGCGGAAAACUCCGGUGGUAUAGGAUGGACCCGCGUCCGAUCAGCUGGUUGGUGGGGUAACGGCCCACCAAGGCGACGAUCGGUAGCCGACCUGAGAGGGUGACCGGCCACAUUGGGACUGAGACACGGCCCAAACUCCUACGGGAGGCAGCAGUGGGGGAUAUUGCACAAUGGGGGGAACCCUGAUGCAGCGACGCCGCGUGAGUGAAGGAGUACUCCGGUAUGUAAAGCUCUAUCAGCAGGGAAGAAGCAAGACGGUACCUGACCAAGAAGCCCCGGCUAACUACGUA